AGCUUACCGAUCAAGCUGAACUCGGGCAACACCUAAUGUGGAGAUCUACCUGUCUGUCUGUCUGAACCUGCAUGCAUGAAAUGCAGUGGCCCCAGAAAAGGGACGUCAGUACGAAAUAAUGUACCGAGUAUAUAAGGCAAUAUACUGAAAGCUGAAACUGAACUAAUAAUAUAAUAAUUGAAAGUAACUGGGAGUCAAAGACAAUCUGAAGAUAUGCUCACAUGCUGAUACUGACUCAACUCUCUCAAUAUAGUAAGUAAAACAGUUGUCCGGCCUUAUAAGGCUUGGUAUAUAUAAAUCAUCUGCCGUAGUUGACUCGCUCAUAGGCGCUCAGCCAUACUAGGCUAUGUAUCUCGGCCAUGCUGGGCUCGCUCAUAGGCUCUCAGCCACAGUAGGCUCGGUAUAUAACUUACCAUCUGAUCUGAGGUUGCCCAAUAGGGGCCUGCCCAUUGAUUAUAGCUCGAUGCUAGUGAAAAUACUGUAAUACUAUAUAUAUAGACUCUCUGCUCUCUUGAUUAGGAUAAGACAAUACUUAAUUGAAUAUGAAGUCCCGAUAAGGGAGAAUACUGUAACUUAUGAGACUAGGAUAAUGUAUAUAAAUUCGGAAGUAUGAACUUCUCUUUAUGCCUCGUUAUCAAACAUAUGUAAUUACGAGAUCAUGCCAAAAUGAAGGAAGGGCUUAGCCUUAACAUACCUGAGCCGAUUCUCUUGACAAUCCCUUUAUCACACAUCAAUUAUGACAAAUCACGUAACGGCAGAUCAUAGUAGGGAAAUCCAUAUGAUAUUCUUGAGAAAGAUUGCACCGUACUCCCUUAGAAUCGCAAAAUUCCGUUGCUAUUACCUUAUGAAAUCUCGUACGAAUUUUUGUAGAAAAUUCUGUAUGAUCACUUUGUGAAUUUGAUUAUGAUCUUGUAUGAUCUUUGAAGCUCCAUCUGUAAGUUGUAGUCAUAGCCGUUUCAUUUUGUAGUAAUAAGGCUUAAUAGCAUCUUUUAAUCAAAAAUGAGAAAAUGUAGUUAUUAAUUUAAAUGUUGCCACCUUCCAAAGUGACUUUAGAGUCAUCAAAUAGGCAUAUAUUGCUGCCACGUUUUUGUCUUGAUUAAGCUCAUCCAAUAACUUAAUUAAGCUU
rnacentral:lncRNA from 1 species